GCUCCUGAAGUUGAUUGCAUACACCUUCCAAAAUUCUUCUACGGUAGUUUUCCAUCAACCCUUCUGUUGCAUGUACAACGGAAUCCACAGUUUUCUAAAUAACACAAGCGUUACAUUGUAUAAUUAGUUUAUUUAACCAGGUACUGUAUUACAUUUCCACAACUUUCGCUCAGCUUCACACUCUAAAUUAGAUAAUUUGGGGUGUAUAUCGAAUUCGACAAUAAACAUAAACUCUACAAUUACCUUUUGUUAUAUAAUUCCCUCUACAAUGCAUAAUAAUAAUAAUAAUAAUAAUAAUAAUAAUAAUAAUAAUAAUAAUAAUAUGCAGUUUUAACUAGCUCUGCUUUAUAAAUUGGCCAGAAAAAAAAAGCAUUCAAAAUAUAAUCUUCUGAUGGAUAUCAUUCAUGAGUUUUGCCAAACAAAUAAUGCAUAGGCCUACAUUAAAUAAUAAUAAUAAUAAUAAUAAUAAUAAUAAUAAUAAUAAUAAUAAUAAUAAUACGGUUAAACUACAAACAGAUCUUCCAAGUAUCACAAAGCAUAAGGGUGAUACACUACAUUAGACAGUGUAGACAGUAGGUGUAACAUUUACCGACAUCAGAUCAGUAAUCGGCUAGUAUGUAACUUUUUUAAAAACGUUGGCAAAGGGUUCACUGAUAUUACAGCUGACGCAAUAUAUCAUUGCAAGGAAAUGCAUUUCAUUCAUAAGUUUGUGUAAGUAGCUAACAGUCAAAACAAACAAAACAAUAACAAUGAAAAGUCUUACCUGUGUUAGUAAAUUCUGUUCCUUUAACGAGAGCACAUACAAAGCUGCAGACUCCUUUCUUCGUCCAUUUCUUGUCGUGGGAUCAUCGACUACGACUGGACCACUAAUAGUAGCAUUGAUAUUAACGUACUCAUCGGCCGUGGUCGUAAUUUCCCUAUCCCUCUGUACUUGUGCCUUGGCAAUCAGUAGUCGGUGGUGGUCCCCCUGUUCGGUACAACUGGGCAUGACAUUUAGUUACAUGCCUGUAAAAGCUGUCAUACUUAUCGUACGUUUUGGGGCAUUGGUUUAUAUUACAGGUAAUAUGAAAAUUUGGUUCAUUUGAGUGUAUAUUAUUUAUAUGACCCAAUAGCACUUUCAGUGUCAAAGCAAUGAAAAUAUGACAAAUUAAACAUCGCCAAGUCAGUCGAUGGUUUUCCAUUUUGCCUCUUGAAGAAGUGUCGUGAGGGAUGCUCGGGACAGGUUCACGCGCAUACUUCUAAGCGCGCCAAGCACGAGCAAGAAUUCUGAAGAGGAGACGUUUUGUUUUUUUUGACAAAAGCAAAGGUAACCAACGAAGAUGGUUGACCCACGAUCAGCGGUUAAGAGAAUGUCGACUGAUACUCUUCAAAACUGGGUUACUCAAACUGCUGUCAAUAUUUCUCUCCCAAAAAACGAAGACGACCCUAGGGUAAUUGCAGACCUUAUUGGGGGUAAGUAACUUCCAACGCAUGCUUGAAUUAGCUUUCGAAAAAUUUACUGCACACAGAUAAUUAACGUUAGCACAUACACUUGAAGAUCACCCUUAGGCAUAGUUGGGUUUAGAUAUUAUGUUAUUUAUGUUAUUUAAGCGUUAAUGAGAAGGGGUAAGGGCAUCUGCAAAGAAAAUAAAUACUAUUACUACUACUAAAUAAUAAUAAUAAUAAUAAUAAUAAUAAUAAUAAUAAUGAGAAGCGGGGAGAUCCUUACUGACAAGAAGCCUGUAUCUGACAGGCAUAAGCUAUCUGAGGGCAUUUGGACUGACACAUUAACACUAUAAUAAACGUAUUUCGUGAAAACAGUACGAGCGUUAUUAUUGUUGUGAGUUAACUAAAUAUACUUACAAAUAGUGUAUUUGGGUGCUGUGUCAUUACACAGGGUACAUAUUGGAACAUCCAGUUCAAACUCAGAAUUCCAUAACGACAUGUAAGGUCUACACAGUACUCUUUACAAUACUUAAUACUUAAACUUAUUACUUUACAACACUUACUGAAACUUAAUACUUUACAACUGACAUAUAUGUGGUAGGCAUACAUUUUAGGAUUAAUAUGCAUCUUAAGCUUUGUUUAGUACUGUACUCAAGUUUAAAAAUAAUGAUUGUUUAUUUUAUAAUGCAUUGAAAUCCUUUGUUUCAGCUUCUGAGAUUGAUGGGUCAGAUUUUGUAUCACUAAAUGAACCUGAAAUAGCAGAUUUAAUUCCAGUUAAAACUCCAAGAUUCUUCCACCUCAGAAAAUAUCUGCGUACACUACUGAAUUACUUGAAUCCCACUCAAAAUAACACACCUUUAGGAUCAACAUCAAAGAAACAAGAAAUAACCAAAGAUGGGCCCUGCUUAUCUUCAGCUGCGUACACCUUGACUGAAAUCACAGUGGCUGAAAAAGUUAAGAAGCCACAGUGUUUUGCACAGACUGCAGUUCAACCUUAUUAUCCCUUUCUAUGGUUACCUGCACUGGAAGAAAAGCAAAGGGAACUAAUAAGAGAAAAAUACAUUGUUUAUGGGUGUGUGCAACAAGUUGCAAACAUGUUUCACAUUGCAAGAGCCAUCAAUCUGAAGAAUACCCCAUCAUUACACGACGUUGAAGAAAUGGCCAAGCGCUUUGUGAAAAAAUAUCCAUGUACUGCAGACGAAAAAGAAGAUGCAAAUGGAAAUAACUAUGCAGUACAGUGUCUUGGAUAAAAUGCGAAGAAAGGUCUACAACAUGAGGUAUGAAAACAAAAAGGCUCAAACAGCUAAACCAGGCCAGAAAAGGAAAACAUAUGUAGAACAUUCUUCAACAAAGAAAACACAGCAUACUUUGCAUGAAGAUGUUUCUGUGAAAAUACAACCACAAAGUACAGAAGAAAAUGACGGAGAUUACGUAACACAAACAACCGCAGCACAGCUUCAGAAAAAGCUUUAAGAUGAGCUGUUAAGGAAAAGUCCCCGUUAUGAGGUUGUUAAGCAACUUCUUGACCUUGACUUUCCUGAACGGAAACACUUUAUAAAGACUGUCAAAGGAGAUGUUAGGCUCAUAUUGGAAAAGUAUAGCUGCUUUCAUCAGCCUAAUCAUUUGCAGGAUGAGAUGAGCAGACAUCUGCAAAAAUCAUUGGAAGGGUUAAGAGCAAAAUGGGAACUUGAGGUCAACAUUAUCUUGAAGUACGGAGAAGAGAAAAAGCUUUUGAACAUUAGCCUUGCAUGGUCACUUGAGAAGACGACAAGUGAGGCUCUACAGAUCCUGCCAGAUCUCUUUGCUGCAGGAAAAUUUGCACCAACUGGCUUAAAAAAGAGUGAGAUGCUACUGCAGUUUGUGGACGACCUGGAAAAAAAGGAAGAGGCCAUGCAGAAAAGCAAAAAGAGGGAAGUCUGGCUGUUGGGUGUGCCAUCACACAGAAAAUGUUUUGUUUUAAUUAAAGGGCAGCCCCUUUGUGAACUAAAUUCAAUGGUAGAGGCAUUUUUGCUUAGUGCCAGCUACACAUUUUCAGUCUGCUACCAUGAGUGUGUAGGACCAGCAAUGAUGUGGUUGGAGUCAGCAUUCCUUGGAGAUGAGAGGGUAAACACCAAGGACAUGACCUCAUGCAAGAAGUCAAUUCAAAGUUAUUUAGAUUUCAAGGAAAAGCUCACAAGUCCAUUGCAGUUUCUGGUAAGGGGGGUUAUACAGUAUCAUUUAUAAUUAUACUUAAGCGAUACAGCCCUCUGACGCAGUCUUUAACGUUUGAUAGGUGACCACGACUGGAGUUAUGCGUCCUGAUCCAAAGGCGAGGGCGCUAACGAAAGACAAGGCCAUCUGUCAAAUGUAAGAGCCCGCAUAGAGAGAUUUUCAGACAAUUAUUAUUAUUAUUAUUAUUAUUUAUUUCUUAGCAGACGCCCUUAUCCAGGGCGACUUACAAUUGUCACAAAGUAUCACAUUAUACAGAUAUCACAUUAUUUUUACAUACAAUUACCCAUUUAUACAGUUGGGUUUUUACUGGAGCAAUCUAGGUAAAGUACCUUGCUCAAGGGUACAACAGCAGUGUCCCCCACUGGGGAUUGAACCCACAACCCUCUGGUCAAGAGUCCAGAGCCCUAACCACUACUCCACACUGCUAAUGGCUAAUGGACAUCACAAAAACAUAUCUGUCCAACAUAAUUGCAUGUUUCACUGCAUGUUUUUUACUGUAUGUUCAAAUGUAUUAUUUUUAUAUUGGGUUUAAAAGAGUAGAAAAAUAUGUUAAAUCAGUUUGAUUAUAAUAUAUUAGCAUGUAGAUUGUUAAGUAUUUUAGUAUUUUUACA